CUACGGGUUGCUCCAGCAGGGAAUAUUGCACAAUGGACGGAAGUCUGAUGCAUCGACGCCGCGUGGAUGAUGAAGGCCCUCGGGUUGUAAAAUCCUUUUCAGGGGGACGAGGAAGGACGGUACCCUUGGAAUAAGCGUCGGCUAACUACGUGCCAGCGAGCCGCGGUAAGACGUAGGACGCAAGCGUUAUCCGGAUUUACUGGGCGGAAAGCGUCUGUAGGCGGAAUGGUAAGUGGACGUGAAAGCUCCGGGCUCAAGCCGGAGAGGUCGUUCAAUACUGCCAAACUAGAGGGCAUCAGAGGAGCGUGGAAUUUCCGGUGUAGCGGUAAAAUGCGCAGAUAUCGGAAGGAACACCAAUGGCGAAGGCAGCGCUCUGGGAUGAACCUGACGCUAAGAGACGAAAGCUAGGGGAGCGAACAGGAUUAGAUACCCUCGUAGUC
rnacentral:rRNA from 1 species